UUAAGUGAAAAUGGCAUUGCAACAAUUAACCAGUGGAGUAAAUGGCUAUGAUUGAAAAAAGAUUUGGAGACGAAAAGAGCACUCUAUUGGAUGAAUUUGAGAGGCUCUCAUUUGAGGCGCACGCGGCACAGCUAAACAAAGCGAUGCUAAGGCGAAGCCUAUCUGAACCAAGGUUGCAAAGGUCACCGUCACGGCUCAUUAGCAUGGCUCCAAUACCUCUGAUGAAUAAGGUCAUGCAAGGGCCUCAUCAUGGAAAAGAGUGAGAGGAGGAAGAAAACAUGUCACAUCAGAUCCUAAGGAUAUUAUGCUUUGCAAGGAAUUCAGCAGAUCACUACGAUUAUGAUCAAUGCCUUGCCAAAGUAUUAUCAUUUAAUAUAUACUAUCUAUAUGUUCAUUGUUAUUCUUUUUUUAUUGAUAAUUGAACUAUCUAUAUGUUAAUGUUACUGUCAAGCUAAUAUAUGCUCUAAAAAGCUAUAGUAAUUUUUUUUUUUUGUUUUUGAAGAAGCCAAAGAAAUAUGCUAAAAAUGUAAUUUAUUUUUGUUCACAAAUAAAGUAUAGAGUGUCUACUCUAAAGACUA